UGUCAGGUUUGAAGGAGACUCCAGGAACUGCUGCAGCCAUCUGCCAGUCUAACAAGUAGACCAACUCAGAGCAGAGAGCAGAGGCCAAGGAAUUUCAGAAAAGCAGAACCAGGAUAUGUUGUGGAUGGACCCUAAUCUACCCCUGAACUUCUUGUUACGUGAGGUACCUAAGGAGAGCGUCCUUUGUGCCAGGUACUGUGCCAACCAUCCUUGAAGGUUAACUCCUGAUCAUCCCAUGUGCUAAUGACACCCAACUCUCUGAAGUCCAGACCCCUCUCCCUUCAGAUUCACACUUGGACAUUCACAAGCUCCUGCCCUAAUUCAGACCUGCAGCACCUUCUACCUGGACGUUGCCAUAGCCUCCCUACUGGUCUGCCUGCCUCUAAGCGUGUUCGUGUAGCAGUCACACUCUCCUGCUUCAGUGGCUCUCUGUUGCCUAUGAACAAAGAUCAUACUCCUUAAAAUGCUAAAUAAAGUUCCCUGUGUCCUGCUCUCUGUCUUCCUUUCCAGUCUCACCUUAAGAGUGGUUUGCCUUGAACGUUUGUGGUUUCCUACACACAGCACACAGAUUCAUGGCUUUGCUCGUGCUGUACUUCCUGUUUGGAAUAUGACCUACCCUAUACCCCCAUUUCUGCACAUAAUUUAAGCUUCAGCUGAGGUGCCAUGUCCUCUAGGAGGCCUUGUCAGUCCUCUUCAGGCUGAGCUGGGUGUCCUCUGGUCGGCUUUUAUAGCACACUGGGCAUCCCUCUGUCAUUGCACUAUUAAGAUCAGGUCCUCUUGCUGCCACCUGGAUUCCCUUGUGAGUUCCUUGAAGACAUGGGCAUGUCUUGUUCAUCCUUGAUUCCCCAAUGCCUAGCCAGUACCUGAAACACAGUAGGGUUUCAAUAAACGUCUGUUGAAAGUCUAGGUUUCCUUUUAAGUAGAGCA